GUCCGGCCUGCGAGGGUCUGGCCGUGGGGAGAAGCAUCCCAGGCCGAGCAGCCCCUACGGGGCCUUUGCACCUGCGGCCCCGGCGGCCUGCGGCUCUGGCCUUGGCAUCAGCCGCUGCCCGCCACCCCGCGCUCUCCGCGUCCGCGCGGUAGCACACGGUGGACCUCAUCUUAGUGCACUUGACUUCAUUGUGCUUCACAGGUGUUGUGAUUUUUUACAAACCGAAGGCAAGACCCUCGGCCAUUCUCUAGAUUCGCCCCUGCAAUCUAGCUGCCCCUGUCACAGAGAACUGCCCAAACCAAAGACAUCUGAGAUCACAGUGGAGCCGGACAACCAGAGAUUGAGCCAAGCAGGAUUAUUUACCACAUUUCAGAGCCCCUAAUGAAGCUGAGUAUUCAGCUGACGUCCAGUGCCUGGUGCUAGGAGGCUUCAGCCACCUGAGGAGGAGGCAAGCUGCUGAGAUGGACUGCCACCUAGCGACAAGCCUUUAAAGUGGGAGGGAGGGAACUGAAGUUGACCUAAUGCCGGACCCAGUGAGAAGAGCAUACACACGUGUCUCACCUGAUCCUCAUAAUUACAAAGGGAGUCAGGGAUUAUUGUCCCCAGUUUAAUGAUGAGGAAACUGAGACUUGGAGUUCUGUAACUUGCCCCAAGGCCACACAACUAACAAGAGGUGAUUUGAACCCAAGUCUGUCUGACUCCAUGCAUUUGCUGCCUCAAAGAGAGCCACUGGCUUAAGUAGGUCAGUAGUCAGUGGGCAUGGAGGCUAGCUGGCUAAUCGGUGUAGGUGAGGGGAGGCCUUGGGUAUGGCUGGCCCAGGGCACAUAGAACUCAGAAAACAUAAGUGCUCAUAAAGUGUGGCUUGAGGUAGCUUGGGCUUAAGAUGGUGCUGCCCCUGUCUGCAGCCCCUGAGCUUCGCUGUGUGGCCCUUGGUGGCAUGAGUUGGGAAAAGAAGAGAAACCCAGCACCAGCCCUCCAGGAAUUCAUAGGCAUUAAACAGACAAACACUUGUUAUGUAAGGUAAAUUGGGAUGAGAGCUACAGAGGAAAAGAACAGAGGGCUAUGAGAUAAACAUUAGAGAGCCCUACUUCAGAUCUAGUAGGUAAGGAGGACCACUCUAGGACCGAACAAAGGCCCAAAGGAUGUGAGUAGAUGGCCAGGUGAAUUUUUAGGGGUAAGAAAGUACUUUCUAGAGGUAACAGCAUGUACAAAGGCCCUGAGGUUAGAAAGAGCUUAGUGGAUUGAGGAAUAGAAAGAAGGCUAGAGUUUACUAAGUAAUGGGGGAGCACUUGGAGAGCAUUUGAAGUAAGGAAGACAGGUGCGGGCUGAAUGGGGACCCUCCCUGCCUAUCUGACUUUGUCCAUUUUUCUAGGAGGACCCCUCCUAAGUGCUGCAGCUCUCCUCGAGCUUCUUAUGCCAACUUGGCAGCCUGUGGGCUGUGAUGUACUUUUAAAGUCGGCUUUUCUAUUUUCUGACGCUUCCAUAAUGCAGCUCAUGCUUCCUUGCUUUUACUUGUGUUUUGGUCUCUGGGGCCGGGCCCCCAGGGGCUUCAGAAAUGCCUGCCAACAGAAGCUCAUAUUUUCAGUCGGCUGCCAGGCCCUCCUUCAGGAAACAGGGCCCCACUUCCUCCUGGGACUUCUGAGCCAGCAUCCCAGGCCUCAGGUGCCUCCCUCCACCAAAGCAGUUUCAGGAAAAUCAGGGCGCUCAAAGGGUGUGGCUGAUAUGGGCUUUCCCCAGCUCAGCAUAUACUAGUAUAUGGGUACGUGGGUGUCAUUGGCAAUGCGUGCAGCUGCGCUGGCUGGGAGGGAGCAGCCUAGCACCCACUCAAGGCACAUGCCCGUGACAUCACCCAGGCUAGUCCUGCUUGGGCCUGUUUCUGCCAACACUCAUGCUUCAAUAUGCCCGCCCCCCACCAAUACCUGUGCCUGAGGUCUGGGGAGGUGUCUCAGCCCACAUGACCCUCUGGCGUUGUGGGCCUGACCUCCCAGGUAUUCACUUACUAAACAUUUAGAACAGUACUUAGCAUAUAGUAAGCCUAAUAGAACAGCUGUACUCACAUUGUCUCAUUUACUCCUCAUUGAGGUAAGUACUCUCAUUAUCCCCAUCCUACAGAUGAAAAACCAACACACGGAGAGAUAUGUCCAAAAACACAGCUAGGAGGUGGCAGAGAUGGGAUUCAAACCCAGGCAGCCUGGCUCGAGUCAAUUAUGUGUUACCUCCCAUGUAGGUAUGAACAUUCUAUUAUAUAUCCUCACCCCUUUGCAUAAUACCCAUACCCGCUUUCUAUUUUUAGUUAUUUGGUGAAGUGCUGUCACAGGUUGAGUUUCUUUGGGAAGCAGAUUCUACAGAGGUUAGUGUGCAGAAUGUUUAUUAGGGAGUGCCCUUGGCUGGGAUCAGCACUCUGGAAUGGAGCUCCGGUGGCGCAGUUGGUUAGCGCGCUGUGUAAGGAAGAGGCACAGGGAGAGUCCCCAGGGAGCCCUGGCCAAAUGGCUCUCUGCUGCUGAGGUGACCUUAGGGAGCUGACAGCACUCUCAGCAGUUGGGGCAAUAAGUGCUUCCUUGUUGGGGAAUCUGGGUGGUACACAUCACUGUGCCCACCACAAAUGUAUUCUUUUCCAGCCCUUUAAAAAAAUUUAGGGUACUUAAAGGGCAAAAAUAUUGUAGUACAGAAAUGGGGUUUGCAGUUAUAAAAGAACUAUAGUAUGGUUAAUAUGGGUUAACAUAGCUCCUGUGACUGAGAAUCAGAUGUAGCUGAGCUUCUUCGUAGCCAAAGCAAAAAUUCUUUCUAUUCUGAUAACUAAUAACUUAGGGGAGAAAAAUUCUCCUAGGGAUAAACUAUAAAAGAAGUUUCUCAUAUGGACACUUAUUUGUUUGAAAUAGUGGAGAAUGUUCUCAACAAAUUUACAGCAAAUGCUGCCAGUUUGUUUCUGGUAAUAACCUUGAAUAAAUAUAGAAGGUAUAAUAUAACGGUAUAGCUUAGUGGAGCCCCUUCCACCAUUGAUUUAUAGAUUGGCAGUGUCUAAUUUGAUCCAUACAUAAAACUUUAUCCCUUUUCUUUAAAGUAAUCUUUAAAUUUUACUCAGUAGUUUGUUAGAUGUCUAACCAGCCCUUCUCAAGGGUUUUUGAGCCAGCCUGCACCUUGGUGUACAGCCAGUACUUACUUAGUACGUACUCACCUCAGUGCACCUUGAGCUCCACCCCACCUUUGGUCUAGGCUCCUUGACCUCUGGCCCCAAUAUCUAUCUAUGCCUCCUACUUAGUUGUUGGACCUGACACUUCUUCGGUGAUGUCCUGCUUUCCUCCUCACCUGGAAUGUACUCUCAGCCCCUUAAGAACCUCAUGUUUUCUAUCAUUCAAGGCAAAACGAGGCCUGGCCCAGCCACUUCCAGGGACUCUGCUCUCUCUGCAGACCCUUCGUUGCCUCUGCUGAUGGGUCUCUAUACUGGGACCCAGAGAGGCAGGAGAGCUGGGCUCCAGAUGUACCUUCUUCAGGGAGGUGGCAGGGAUAUGUAAUUGCUUCACUAAAGGAAGAGAAGGGGAGAGUCCUUGCUAGCCACUGGCCCAGGCCAGGGCAGACCUAUUUUUCUGCUUUUCUCCUAACAAAUACUCCUGGUGCCUCCUCUAUAGCAGUAACACAGCAGAGAUGGAUCAGACCAAGUUUCCACUCCAGUAGAGUCACAGAAAUGCCAAACAGGACAGUUCAUUGUGAUAAAGGCCCCUGGAACCUUGAGAAGGGACACAGACCUUACCUGACCUAGCCCUUUUAUGGCUGAGGGGUUGGAGAAAAGUGAGAGACAGAGUAUAUGCCUGAAUAUAUGGCAGGUCCAAAUAUAAGGUGAUCACUUGUUUUUCCAAAAAUGUCACUUCAGGUGUUCUGUGGCUUUUUUGCAACUAAAAUAUAAACAUUUUUAGAGAUGCAGGAUUCAAAUGACCACAUAUAAGUUUUAGUUACACAUAUCUUAAAUCACAUAUUAUUUGAAACAAUAUAUUGUGAAUGUUACUUUCUUGCUCUUACUUUUGCAGUGAUAAUGUUCGAACUCUUUAUAUGAAUCUUUCAUUUCUUUGUAGAAAUCACUAGAGCCACUUUUGAGUCAUCUAAUUUCUGAAGCACAUCACUUUGCUGCCUUCUAAGUUGAGAGAGAGCACUUUUGAAAAAUCAACUUUACUGAGAAAUAAUUUACCUAUAAUAAAAUGCAUCCAUUUCAA